GAUGAACGCUGGCGGCGUGCCUAAUACAUGCCAGUCGAGCGAACAGACGAGGAGCUUGCUCCUCUGACGUUAGCGGCGGACGGGUGAGUAACACGUGGAUAACCUACCUAUAAGACUGGGAUAACUUCGGGAAACCGGAGCUAAUACCGGAUAAUAUAUUGAACCGCAUGGUUCAAUAGUGAAAGACGGUUUUGCUGUCACUUAUAGAUGGAUCCGCGCCGCAUUAGCUAGUUGGUAAGGUAACGGCUUACCAAGGCAACGAUGCGUAGCCGACCUGAGAGGGUGAUCGGCCACACUGGAACUGAGACACGGUCCAGACUCCUACGGGAGGCAGCAGUAGGGAAUCUUCCGCAAUGGGCGAAAGCCUGACGGAGCAACGCCGCGUGAGUGAUGAAGGUCUUCGGAUCGUAAAACUCUGUUAUUAGGGAAGAACAAAUGUGUAAGUAACUAUGCACGUCUUGACGGGACCUAAUCAGAAAGCCACGGCUAACUACGUG
rnacentral:rRNA from 1 species